AUGUUAGGAUUUAUGGGCUACACUUGACGUUUUAUUCCUAACUAAGACAUUGCCAAAUAGGAUUUGCUUUUUGGAGAAAUGUUUAAUUUUAGGACGGACCCGGGAAAAGACUUAGAAGUGAAUCUAAGUGAUUUUAGUAUAAUUUUGAAGAGUCCUACACAUAAUGAGAAGAAAUUUGAUGAUGAGGAUUUGGCUAUCAUCUUAUUGAAUUUUCUGCCUGACUCUUACAAGGAUGUGAGAAAUGCAAUAAAAUACUCGAGGGACAAACUAUCACAAGCAAUUGUAAUAGAUGCAUUAAUAUCAAGAGAUUUAGAAGUUAAAAAGGAAUCAAGAGAUUUAAGGGAAGAGAGUAUGUUUGUAAGAGGGAGAAGUGAAAAAAGAGAGAAUGACUUUCAGGUAAGGAAAGUAAAAGGAAAAUCAAAUGGGGGAUCUAAAUCCAAAGAUAAACGUAACAAGAAGUAUUACGAUUGUAGGGAGCUAGGGCACUUUAAUAGGGAUUGCUUUGAGUAGAAAAGGGAAAAAAAAUUAUCAAAAUGAUACGGAAUUGAACAAUGAUGCUGUUGGUAAUGAAUCGGACAGCUUGCAUGAUUGUGUCUUGUGAAAACAUUAGUUAAGAUUGGAUUUUAGAUUCAGGGUGUAUAUCCCAUAUGAGUUACAUUAGGUCAUGGUUUUAUAAAUAUAGG
rnacentral:lncRNA from 1 species